GUGGGGAAUAUUGGACAAUGGGCGAAAGCCUGAUCCAGCAAUGCCGCGUGAGUGAAGAAGGCCUUAGGGUUGUAAAGCUCUUUUACCCGGGAAGAUAAUGACUGUACCGGGAGAAUAAGCUCCGGCUAACUCCGUGCCAGCAGCCGCGGUAAUACGGAGGGAGCUAGCGUUGUUCGGAAUCACUGGGCGUAAAGCGCACGUAGGCGGCUUUGUAAGUUAGAGGUGAAAGCCCGGGGCUCAACUCCGGAACUGCCUUUAAGACUGCAUCGCUUGAAUCUGGGAGAGGUAAGUGGAAUUCCGAGUGUAGAGGUGAAAUUCGUAGAUAUUCGGAAGAACACCAGUGACGAAGGCGGCUUACUGGACCAGAAUUGACGCUGAGGUGCGAAAGCGUGGGGAGCAAACAGGAUUAGAAACCAGGGUAGUCC
rnacentral:rRNA from 1 species